CUCUUUGAAAGGAACGGAUCGCGAAGAUCCGGAUCCCCUCAAAGAGCCAUAAAUCCCAUCACUAGUCACAACUCUAUUGAGUCGGUCAGUUUAGGCGAUUGAUGCUGGCGUGCUCUGACAGAACCUCGCACGGUUUUCAACGCGGAGUCUGUUUUGGAGUUAAUAUUUCUCAGACUGGCUGGUGUAACGUACGUUGGCCUGCAGGAUGGAGCUGGCUAGAAUGUCUAUAGCUAACUUAAUAAAGGAGUGAAUACAAUUUGGUAUCGAAGUCACUGAAGAGGAGAGGAAAAAGUUUGAAGGAGAUUAAUGCUCUUGGAGAGGAUGCUACAUCAAUAGAGGGACAUGUGAAAGUCCUGCAGGACCAAUAUAGAAGGACACAGUCAGAGACUCACAUUGUGGAAGAUCGAAUGAGGAGGACCGCUUUUACUUUACUGAGUUUUUCAUUGAAGAGCUAGUUUUUUCUUGACAUGCUUGCUGUUGUGAGAUGUAAUGAAAUCUUUUUAAAAG
ensembl:lncRNA